UUUUACAACAGGUUUAUAUAAGCAUGCAGGGACUCAUUCUUGACUGGACUGUAGCAGAACAUCAUCUCACAACAUGUUUUGUUCACACCUGUAUCUGGGUUAUUGUAACUGUCACCUCUGGCUGUACAAAGUACGUAGCUGAUUGUCUUUGUGUCUGGGUCAGGAAUGGCAAUCAUCUAGUUAACCUCUAGGUCCAUUAAUUCUUUAGUUUUUAAUGACUUCAUAUUUGUACAGUCGUGUUAUUUGUGUUUCUUUUUUUUGUUUAAUUUAUGAAUACCCCUAAUCCGAUGUCUAUUUACAGUUGUCUAAUUACUCCAGGUUUGAGGCUUGAACCCCACUCUCACACACACACCUCCAGAUGUUCUCUGAGAGCAUGUAAAUACUGGAAUGAUCAGUUGCAGUGGCUAUUCUGUAUCACACAAACAAGUCAUUGAUUUCAUCCGUGGAAAAUCUCUGUGUUCUGUUCUACCCUUGCAACUCACGCGGGGAGUUUGUGUGUAAACAUCGUAAACGCUUGCCUAGCCCCGCGAGGAGGAGGAACUGGGACCUCGCCUUACGUCACCAAAGCUAUAUAAACUGACAGACUAUCAUUAGACUAUAGUUGCUCUUCUUGUUAAACCACACGGACCUAUAUAAACAGACACAGGGAACGUAGUAGUCUAUUGCAGUCAACACAAAACUUAAUCCGAACAAGUUCAACCGUGCGUGAUAAAAAUGACGAACACAGAUCUAACAACCGCUAUUGCCUGUGCGCAUCAGCUGCGUAACAUUGGAGACAGCCUGGAGUGGUCGGUCAACUGGAGAUGCAAACUGCUGGAGAUUCUCAUGAAAAGCUACAAGAACCUGGUCAAAUUCAAGUGAAAUAUGACCUCCUCAUUAGCAACGUCCUUGUAUGACGUCCAGUUGCAGAGAGCCUGAAAAGUAACGGCUAUCUUGGAGAUAGUGAUGGAAUUGCAUUGGUCACUAUUGGAGACCCGUACCGCGCUGGCGCAUUUGCGCCAUUCAUAAUGGACGGAGGAAGGGACAGCCAACCAGAUCUACCGUUCCUAACGCGGGGCUGAAUGGACGCCAUGUUGGCUGAACCGUGAAGCAGUGAAGCUCAGACUGUUGUGUUGACAGACCAGUGGGUUACUGGAAACCCUGAACCUAACUGGACCCCAUUCCCGUGGAUUUAGGCUACCGUGCCUGGAGGAGGUCUACAUGGGCAUGUGUUUAAGCCUUCUGCAGACUGCAGCUUCUUCCAACCAUGCCAUUUGUUGUUUCACUGGCAUGCUCAAUGCCUCAUGUCAGACACUGAUGCAUGAUGUUGUACACAAAUCUCAUCUACAUUGAUGUAAUUAUGAUAUACACGUGUACAUUAAACAGUGUCCAAACACUUGAGUCUUAUUCCACUUCUGUGCCUAGAUCAAGGACAGGCCUCUCUUAGGAAUUUCUUGACACUUCUCAAAUGUUGUAUUGAAACAGGAGAGCUCAUUCUGCAAGACAGUGAAGGAAUGACAGGAUAGACUCACAGUGCUGAAUUCAGGCACUUCAAUGAUCCACUCUUUAUUGUGUGGUCACAUAAAAGCAGACAGAGGGGUACAGAAAUCCCUUUAAUAUCACAUCACCAUACUGGUACAGGCCUCCACCAGAGGGACGGCAGCUUCUGCUGGAGCAUGCUGGGACUUGUCAUCAUGCCUCACUGGUAGACUAUCUACACUGUAUUGUCAUCACAGCGGUCUCCUGUGUGCAGCACUGGAGCAGAGCAGAGCAGUCCACAGAGCAGCAGACACCGCCGGACCAAACACAUGAACAGAGAAUGGCGUACAAAAGAAGCUACUUCUGGGGGAUGUUUUCUGGAUCAUGGACAUGAAAGCAGUAAAAACGGUGUUAGUAGAAAGUAAAA